GAUGGAAUCGUUUCUGUGUCCUGAUGAGCUGGGCCCUCUCUGCAGUGGAGAAUACAUGUCUCUUUGUAGCUUCUCAACAUACUCUAGAUGGGUUGUCCGCGGGCCAGAGACGGUCAGGCUCGCUCUACCGCUCUCAGGCACCUGCCUUUCUCUGCGUUCCGGAAUGCGGCCAAGACCGAAUAAAGGAAAUUACAUAGUAAGCGGAGAUCGGGUGUCUGAGCAGCGCCUUGGAUCAAAUCCACUCAUGACACUACAGAUUGCUCUAACUCGCAAACGAUCCUGGACAACAGGUUCAAAGCUACGUUAAAGGAAAGAAAUAAGCUCAAGGAACUUCUUGCAUCCAUAACCCCUCAGAAUGAAGAUAUGGAAAAAACUGCCUAAUUAUGAAAAUCUUACAUGACAUUUCUAAUAUCUAGGGCCAGCAGGUAAAGGCACCUGCUACCAAACCUGACUAGUACAGGCAAGUGGAGAGAAAGAAUUCAAGAGAUGCAGGCAAGAGGAUCAGAUAAAUGAAGAUUUUGUAUACUGAGACUCAGGACGUUUUGACUCAACCACAUAUCAACCAGUAUUUCUCAAACUGAGGAAUGUUGACUAUUAAAGGACAUUGAGAAAUCAAGAUAGAAAUACCAGACAGUUUCCUGGCAGACUGAUUUCAUGUAUGUUGGGGGAAGCAAGAGGAAACAGACUAAAGUUUAGAGAACUACAUAGAAGUACUACAAGAAGCAACUGAUGUAUUUCUAAGAGAAGGGCACAAUCUGAUCCUCACCUUGGGAAGCCCCCUUUGGAUACAGUGGACGUACAAGUAAAAAGUAAGAAAAUUUCAUAUCGAGGCUGUGUCGACUGAGAAAUGUCUUGCUAUCUAAAGGAAUUUCAAUAUUUGACGGAUGAGGAAUGGGUUCACAAAUCAGCACCAAGCACGUCAUGGGUGGUUUCUUGUACCCACACUGAGCAUGUCAGUAGGUCUGACAGCUCCAUCCAGGGAGAGUGUGUGUAAGACGGCAGUGACUCCCUGGACUGUGGGAGGAGAGUCCACACUUCACAGGAUUAAUUAUUCAUCUGUGCUAAUUUUGCUUGCAUGUCUAUGGGAGUGUGUCAGAUCUUGGAGUAACAGACCAUUGUGAGCUGCCAUGAGGAUGUGAAUUUGAAGUGGGGUCCCCCCUCCCGAAGAACAGUCAGUGGCCCUAACCACUGAGCCAUCUCUUCAGCCCUUCUCUUACUUCUCUUUUUGAGACAGGGUCUCACUCUGUAGCCUUACCUGGCUUGAAACUAGUUACAUAAACCAGGCUGGCCUGGAAAUCAAGAGAUCUGCCUAUAUCUGCCUCCUAAGUGCUAGGAUUAAAGGAACUCACCGGCAUCCAGAAGUUUUCUCACACGUAAAUAACUGAUGGUGAGCCUCAUAACAGAAGCUUUAUCAAGAUGUGAGCUCACAUUGUGGGGAAGUGGCAACUGAUGAGCAAGCUCAUAAAAAACUUCAGACUCUUUGCUUCGCCGAGAUCUUGCUGCAUCUCUAGACUUUUCUUUUCGACGUUCAGAACUCAUCCUACUUAACAAAAAAAAAAAAAGAGAGACAAGAAUGUACAUGUUAGUUUGUCUUAACUCGAAUAAAAUUAAUUUUUAAAAUGGUUUAUGUCUUUCUAUACUUCAGAUACUUAAUGUGUAAUUUAAAUUAAAAAUUAAGAAAUUAUAGGACUUCUCUGAACAACAAUAAGAAACGUGAAAGUUACCUUCAGACAUUUAGAAGAUAGAUUUAUCAUUUAUGCAAUUUCAGAGAAUUGUUAGCAGAAAUUAUAUGGAAGUUACAUCCCAUUCAAAGAGGUCAAAGCAGUGUUAAAGGCAAAGAAAAGGAAAAAUGACAGAAGGAAAAAAUACAGGUGACGCGAAACAAAGAAUUAAAGGCAACCAAAAAAGGCUCAGACCAAGGAGUGAGAUGUCUGAAGAAGAGAUCCUCCAGAAUGCAGGAACUCCAGACAGGGAAUAGCUUGUGGACUUUUCGUGGUGAUAGACAAUCAAUCAAAACAGGAGAAUCGUUACACUUCAGCAGUUGCUGAGGCCAUGUGCCUUCAUUUUUGUCUUUAGAGACCUACAUUACAGGUCUUAAGCACCUAAUGUUCCCAAGUAGAAAUAUGGCACUCUGAUAGCAUUCAAAAGAAGAUUUAUAUUACUAUAUACAUUUAAUGGAUUUUAAACAGACUCCAUAGAUUUUAAAGC
rnacentral:lncRNA from 1 species